rnacentral:rRNA from 1 species
GACGAACGCUGACGGUGUGCUUUAGACAUGCAAGUCGAACGCGAAAGCCCUUCGGGGUUAGUAGAGUGGCGAACGGGUGAGUAACACGUGGGCAAUCUGCCCCUCGCAGGGGGACGAACCGGAGGAAACUACCGGCUAAUACCCGUACCGCUUGCUGGACCGCAUGGUCCGGCAAGGAAAGGUAGCUUCGGCCAUCCGGCGAGGGAUGAGCCCGCGGUGCAUUAGCUAGUUGGUGAGGUAACGGCNCACC